UGUAACCAGCAAACUUUAUCUUCUUAUUAAUUACCUGCUUUUUGCCUCCUCUGUCCAUGUCCCUUCAUCUCAGUUGGAAUAGCGAUUGGGGUGACUAUAGUGAUUGUGGUUCUCCUGGUUGCUCUGGUCUAUGCUGCCAGGAAGAAGUCCAACCUGCUGGAGACGCUUCGGAACAACAUGCCCAGUAUGCCCUCAAUGCCGUCCAUGCCCUCAAUGCCGUCCAUGCCCUCAAUGCCAAACUUCCGAAACAGUUCAUCUCCAAAUGCAUCGAAAACAGAGGGAAGUGACGUAAGGCUGAAUUCUGAAGCGGUUCCCUGUAUGUCUGUGUCCAUGGUGGACACGGAGGGGAAGAGUUUUGAGAACCCAGCAUAUGACGCUGGAGAACAACCUACUGCCACAAGCAUGGUGACCGCCAUCCCCGCUCCUGAUGGAACAAACAAGGAGUACAUCGAUAAUCCUUUGUAUAUGGAAGAAGUUCAGGUUGUGGCCACAGGAAGCGCAAACAAACCUGACGCUGCCAACAAGGUUUGUGAACGAUUGAAUGUCACGCCAAACGUUUUUCAUAUCUAUUAA
rnacentral:lncRNA from 15 species